rnacentral:rRNA from 1 species
GACGAACGCUGGCGGCGUGCCUAAUACAUGCAAGUCGAACGCAGUGGGGACGGGUGAGUAACACGUGGGUAACCUCCCAUCAGAGGGGAUAACACUUGGAAACAGGUGCUAAACCGAUAUCGAUGGAUGGACCCGCGGUGCAUUAGCUAGGUGGUGAGGUAACGGCUCACCAAGGCCCCGAUGCAUAGACGACCUGAGAGAGGGAUCGACCGCACUGGGACUGAGACACGACCCAGACGCCUACGGGAGGCAGCAGUAAGGAAUCUUCGGCAAUGGACAUAAGUCUGACCGAGCAACGCCGCGUGAGUGAAGAAGUUUUUCGGAUCGUAAAACUCUGUUGUUAGAGAAGCGGUAUCUAACCAGAAAGCCACGGCUAACUACGUGCCAGCAGCCGCGGUAAUUC